UGCUGGCUGUGACACAGCCGCUUGGGCUCUUAGGCUGGGCUAGGGGCUAGGAGGGUAGGUAUUUCCCCAGCUCGCUCGAGGUGUAACUCGCCAGCGCUGUAGCGAGCUCGCCAGAUGUGUGGGUCUGUACAGCGAGGCUUGAGGAAAGUGUCAAUGUCAGAUUGCCCAGGGGGAAAGCCUGGCCCUGAGCUGCUGUUGGGAGGAGGCUGGAGCUGGAAGAGGAACUAUGACUUUUGUGAUCACCAUGUGGUUAGCUGAGGAAACGCCUCUCUCAAACGCCUUCAUGUCAGGAGACUGCAUCUAGGAGCAUCCGUCUAUGUAGCCAGUGUCUCGCCCCCUCACUUUCUCAGUUAUCUUUCAGGAACGAAUGCACAUGUAUAUUGACUAUCUUACAUUAUUCAAUGGUGGGAUACUCACACAUUUUAAUGCAGACUUUAAUUUAGAACAGAGUAUGUUUAGUAUUCACAUGAGAAUGGGGAAGAAAGUAUCAUCUUGAUAAAAUAACUAAUCUUCAGUGAAACCUAAUCGUAUUUUUUGCAGUAGCAUAUAAAUUUGAACUGACCUUUUCUGUUCCCUACCUUAACUCUCUUACUGUAAAGGAGGUGAUGUUUUCGUGAACAAUACGAGUUCCAGGAAAGGGGUCAGACAGGUGUUAAUACUGAAGUUAUCUUGGAUUAAGGAAUUCCUAUUAAAAGUCAUGAGCCUCUUGAA